GACGAACGCUGGCGGCGUGCCUAAUACAUGCAAGUAGAACGCUGAAGAGAGGAGCUUGCUCUUCUUGGAUGAGUUGCGAACGGGUGAGUAACGCGUAGGUAACCUGCCUUGUAGCGGGGGAUAACUAUUGGAAACGAUAGCUAAUACCGCAUAACAAUGGAUGACACAUGUCAUUUAUUUGAAAGGGGCAAUUGCUCCACUACAAGAUGGACCUGCGUUGUAUUAGCUAGUAGGUGAGGUAAUGGCUCACCUAGGCGACGAUACAUAGCCGACCUGAGAGGGUGGUCGGCCACCCUGGGACUGAGACACGGCCCAGACUCCUACGGGAGGCAGCAGUAGGGGAUCUUCGGCCAUGGGGGCAACCCUGACCGAGCACCGCCGCGUGAGUGAAGAAGGUUUUCGGAUCGUAAAGCUCUGUUGUAAGUCAAGAACGGGUGUGAGAGUGGAAAGUUCACACUGUGACGGUAGCUUACCAGAAAGGGACGGCUAACUACGUG
rnacentral:rRNA from 1 species